rnacentral:rRNA from 1 species
UUAUCCUUUGGUUUUGGGGAGGUGAAAAGACAAAUUUUCUUUUUAAUACAUGUUAGUGGAAGCGCACAGGUGAGGAAGUCCGUAGUUUUAGACUCUUAGGGUUGGUAUUAGGUGUUGGCGAGAUAGUCUCGUUUUACCGAAGAUGCAUUGUUUAUCCACAUUCUCACUGAGACAAAGGGGGACUUUUAAAGACAGCAGUAGAGAAUUUUAUACAAUGCACAAAAGUGUGAUAUAGAGAGGGAAAUUAAGGUCCGUCUUAUUAAGUGCCAGCAGACGCGGUGAUACUUAAGGGCCCGGUCUUUUUAUAUUGAAGCAUUAAAAGUACGAAGGCAAAAACUUAAAAGUAAAUAGACCUUUUUUGUAGCGGUAGAAUGUUUUAAUAAAAAAAAGAAUUCCUUAGUGAAGAUAAUUUAUUUUAGGGCUAUAGUACGAGAGCGUAGGGGGCGAACAGGAUUUGAGACCCUGGUAGUCUAUGCUGUAAAUAAUGAAUAAAAGUUUAAACAAAUAUUCUGCUUGAGUAGUACGGUCGCAAGAUUAAAAUUCAAAAAACUUGGCUGUUCAUUGUCUAUUAGAGGAGCGUGUCGUUUAAUUCGAUAUUCCGCGAGAUACCUUACCCAGACUUGAAUUAAAUACAGGUAUUGCAUGGCCAUCGUCAAUUGGUGCUCAAACAACUGAUUAAACGCAACAAUAGUUGGAGGAAGUUAGGUAUCAUUGUCUUAAUGUUUGGGGAUUAGAUGCGCUACAUUUUACUAUUUAAAAAGAAAAACUUAAAAUAGUGGUCCAGAAAGCACUUGGAAAACGUGGGAAGUUGGAUUUAAUAGUAAUGGGGGAGUAGAGCGCUCCCAUGAAAAAAGGGCAAUGUUAGUACAAAUAGCCCGUCGCCUUUGUCUAGUAGAUUAUUUCAAUGCUUUUAGCAAAUAAAUAUUAAUAAGAUAAAGAAAGUCGUAACAUAGUGAGGGUGAGGGAACUGGCCCUUGAUGACGA